rnacentral:rRNA from 1 species
UACAGAGGUCUCAAGCGUUGUUCGGAUUCAUUGGGCGUAAAGGGUGCGUAGGUGGCGGGGUAAGUCGGAUGUGAAAUCCCGGGGCUCAACCCCGGAACUGCAUUCGAUACUGCCUUGCUCGAGUACUGGAGAGGAGAUUGGAAUUUACGGUGUAGCAGUGAAAUGCGUAGAUAUCGUGAAGGAAGACCAGUGGGCGAAGGCGGUUCUCUGGGACGGUACUGGACGCUGAGACGCGAAAGCGUGGGGAGCGAACAGG